rnacentral:rRNA from 1 species
UAGUCCACGCCGUAAACGAUGGUUACUAGCUGUUCGGUUUUCGGACUGAGUGGCUAAGCGAAAGUGAUAAGUAACCCACCUGGGGAGUACGUUCGCAAGAAUGAAACUCAAAGGAAUUGACGGGGGCUCACACAAGCGGUGGAGGAUGUGGCUUAAUUCGAGGCUACGCGAAGAACCUUACCUAGGCUUAACAUGUUUGAGAAUUUCUGUGAAAGCAGAAAGUGCCCUUCGGGGAGCUCUUACGUAGGUGCUGCAUGGCUGUCGUCAGCUCGUGUCGUGAGAUGUCGGGUUAAGUCCCUUAACGAGCGCAACCCCUGUUGUUAGUUGCCAGCGAGUAAUGUCGGGAACUCUAGCAAGACUGCCGGUGCAAACCGCGAGGAAGGUGGGGAUGACGUCAAAUCAUCACGGCCCUUACGUCCUGGGGCCACACACGUGCUACAAUGGUAGGUACAGAGAGCAGCCACUUUGCGAGAAGGAGCGAAUCUAUAAAAACCUAU